rnacentral:rRNA from 1 species
AACGAACGCUGGCGGCAUGCCUAACACAUGCAAGUCGAACGAAUGGUUUCGGCCAUUAGUGGCGCACGGGUGAGUAACGCGUGGGAAUCUGCCCAGCAGUGGGGGAUAACCUCUGGAAACGGAGGCUAAUACCGCAUACGCCCCUCGGGGGAAAGGCUUGCUGCUGCUGGAGGAGCCCGCGUCGGAUUAGGUAGUUGGUGGGGUAACGGCCUACCAAGCCUGUGAUCCGUAGCUGGUCUGAGAGGAUGAUCAGCCACACUGGGACUGAGACACGGCCCAGACUCCUACGGGAGGCAGCAGUGGGGAAUAUUGGACAAUGGGCGCAAGCCUGAUCCAGCAAUGCCGCGUGAGUGAUGAAGGCCUCGGUUGUAAGACUCUUCGUCCCACGACGAUGAUGACGGUAGUGGGAGAAGAAG